rnacentral:lncRNA from 1 species
UUCGAAUCUCCCAAAUACUCACGACUCUUAGAUCCUAGAUCCACCAGUGGGUGUCAGGUGGUGGGGAUGUUCAUCAGUCAUCACAAUAGCAGAAAGAAUGAUAAAGACUCGUCCUGGAGUAUAAUAAGGACAUUUUUAUGUACAUUUGUGAUUUUGCAAAGGCUCAUAUCUGAUAAAUGUUCAAACCAACAAGAAGUCAUGAAAACAAUAAACAUAAGCCCAUUAAAAUCCACAGUAACUGGUCAGUAAGACACACUUUAUACCCAAUUAUAUUAUACAUAAGGUAUCCUUUUACCUGUUUAUCUCAUACCUACAUAACAUGUAAGAACAUUAAGAUCAGCUCAAGAACUUAGUUAUCUGGGCCGCGGCACACGGGUUUCACACACUUGGGAUGUACCUCAUAGCCA